rnacentral:misc_RNA from 1 species
AAAUACAGGCAUAUCUAUCCAUGCCUGUAAGCUCUAUGCCACGCCAGAGCUCGAGGCGGCCAAUGGUAGCUUCCCAACAUAUCUAGGCCGUCCAUGGAAACUCUACUCAAGAACUGUCUACAUGUUAACAUACAUGGGUGAUCACAUUCAUCCAAGAGGUUGGCUAGAAUGGAAUGCAACAUUUGCACUUGAUACGCUGUACUAUGGUGAGUACAUGAAUUUCGGGCCGGGAGGGGCAGUCGGGCAACGGGUAAAAUGGCCCGGGUAUAGGGUCAUCACAUCAACUACUGAGGCAAGUAAAUUCACAGUAGCAGAGUUUAUUUAUGGAUCAUCAUG